CCUACGGGAGGCAGCAGUGGGGAAUAUUGCACAAUGGGGGAAACCCUGAUGCAGCGACGCCGCGUGAGUGAAGAAGUAGCUCGGUACGUAAAGCUCUAACAGCAGGGAAGAGAAUGACGGUACCUGACCAAGAAGCCCCGGCUAACUACGUGCCAGCAGCCGCGGUAAUACGUAGGGGGCAAGCGUUAUCCGGAUUUACUGGGUGUAAAGGGAGCGUAGACGGCAGCACAAGUCUGGAGUGAAAUCCCGGGGCUUAACCCCGGAACUGCUUUGGAAACUGUGCGGCUGGAGUGCAGGAGGGGUAAGCGGAAUUCCUAGUGUCGCGGUUACAUGCGUAGAUAUUAGGCGGACCCCCGGUGGCGACGGCGGCUUACUGGACUGUAACUGACGUUGAGGCUCGAAAGCUUGGGGAGCACACAGGAUUAGCUACCCCAGUAGUC
rnacentral:rRNA from 1 species